GUCUUUUUGAUAAUAAUUUAAAGUCUCGCCUGCCCACUGAGAUUUUUUAAUGGCCGCGGUAUUUUGACCGUGCAAAGGUAGCAUAAUCAUUAGUUUUUUAAUUGAAAGCUGGAAUGAAUGGUUGGAUAAGGAAAAAACUGUCUCAUUUUAAAAAUUUUGAAUUUUAUUUUUAAGUUAAAAAGCUUAAAUAAAUUUAAAAGACGAGAAGACCCUAUAGAGUUUAAUAGAUUUAGUUAAAAUUAAUUUUAUAGAAUAAAUUUUUUAAUUUUGAUUAGUCUAUUUAAUUGGGGUGAUUGAAAAAUUUAAUUAACUUUUUUUAUAAUUUUACAUUAAUUUAUGAAUAAAUGAUCCAUUUAAAUGAUUAAAAGAUUAAAUUACCUUAGGGAUAACAGCGUAAUUUUUUCAGAGAGUUCUUAUCGAAGAAAGAGAUUGCGACCUCGAUGUUGGAUUAAAAUUAAUUAUUGGUGUAGAAGCUAAUAAAUUAGGUCUGUUCGACCUUUAAAAUUUUACA
rnacentral:rRNA from 1 species